rnacentral:rRNA from 1 species
GAUGAACGCUGGCGGCGUGCCUAAUACAUGCAAGUCGAGCGAACGGACGAGAAGCUUGCUUCUCUGAUGUUAGCGGCGGACGGGUAAGUAACACGUGGAUAACCUACCUAUAAGACUGGGAUAACUUCGGGAAACCGGAGCUAAUACCGGAUGAUAUUUUGAACCGCAUGGUUCAAAAGUGAAAGACGGUCUUGCUGUCACUUAUAGAUGGAUCCGCGCUGCAUUAGCUAGUUGGUAAGGUAAUGGCUUACCAAGGCAACGAUGCAUAGCCGACCUGAGAGGGUGAUCGGCCACACUGGAACUGAGGCACGGUCCAGACUCCUACGGGAGGCAGCAGUAGGGAAUCUUCCGCAAUGGGCGAAAGCCUGACGGAGCAACGCCGCGUGAGUGAUGAAGGUCUUCGGAUCGUAAAACUCUGUUAUUAGGGAAGAACAUAUGUGUAAGUAACUGUGCACAUCUUGACGGUACCUAAUCAGAAAGCCACGGCUAACUACGUG